rnacentral:rRNA from 1 species
UACGUAGGGUGCGAGCGUUAAUCGGAAUUACUGGGCGUAAAGCGUGCGCAGGCGGUUCGUUAAGUCUGAUGUGAAAGCCCCGGGCUCAACCUGGGAACUGCAUUGGAAACUGGCGAGCUUGAGUAUGGCAGAGGGGGGUGGAAUUCCUGGUGUGAGCGGUGAAAUGCGCAGAUAUCAGGAAGAACACCCGUGGCGAAAGCGGCUCUCUGGAACGGUACUGACGCUGAGACGCGAAAGCGUGGGGAGCGAACAGG